GCAUCCUACGGGGCGCAGCAGUGGGGAAUAUUGGGCAAUGGGCGCAAGCCUGACCCAGCAACGCCGCGUGAAGGAAGAAGGCCCUCGGGUUGUAAACUUCUUUUAACAGGGACGAAGAAAGUGACGGUACCUGUUGAAUAAGCCACGGCUAACUACGUGCCAGCAGCCGCGGUAAUACGUAGGGGGCAAGCGUUAUCCGGAUUUACUGGGUGUAAAGGGAGCGUAGACGGCAGCGCAAGUCUGAAGUGAAAUCCCAUGGCUUAACCAUGGAACUGCUUUGGAAACUGUGCAGCUGGAGUGCAGGG
rnacentral:rRNA from 1 species